rnacentral:rRNA from 1 species
AUUGAACGCUGGCGGCAGGCCUAACACAUGCAAGUCGAGCGGAUGAAGGGAGCUUGCUCCUGGAUUCAGCGGCGGACGGGUGAGUAAUGCCUAGGAAUCGGCCUGGUAGUGGGGGAUAACGUCCGGAAACGGGCGCUAAUACCGCAUACGUCCUGCGGGAGAAAGUGGGGGAUCUUCGGACCGCACGCUAUCAGAUGAGCCUAGGUCGGAUUAGCUAGUUGGUGGGGUAAAGGCCUACCAAGGCGACGAUCCGUAACUGGUCUGAGAGGAUGAUCAGUCACACUGGAACUGAGACACGGUCCAGACUCCUACGGGAGGCAGCAGUGGGGAAUAUUGGACAAUGGGCGAAAGCCUGAUCCAGCCAUGCCGCGUGUGUGAAGAAGGUCUUCGGAUUGUAAAGCACUUUAAGUUGGGAGGAAGGGCAGUAAGUUAAUACCUUGCUGUUUUGACGUUACCAACAGAAUAAGCACCGGCUAACUUCGUG